GUGAGCAGAGAUUACACCACUGCACUCCAGCCUGGGAGAAAGAGCAAGAGUCGGUCUCAAAAAAGAAAAAGUCCCAGUAUUAUGUUCCAUCAGUUCAAGUCAGCCUAGUUUGGAUCAAGUGUCCUCCCCUGAGCUACUCACUCUGUGUGUGUGUGUGUGUGUGUGUGUGUGUGUGUGUAGAGAGAGAGAGAGAGAGAGAGAUUAAUUAGCAAGACAGAGGUCCCACACCAAGGGUGGUUUUAGCUCCAUCUCCUGUGGACAGCCAGGCCACUGCUACCAGGAAAAAAAAGCUGGUUUCUAAGCAGGCAGAAAUGGCAAUAGUGGGCGCCUGAAUAAAUUCACUCUGACUUUCAAAUUCUGAGAUUGUCUGAUGGAAAAUUCCUAUAUCAGAUGAGUAUUGAUUUCAUUUUUUCAUACUUAAUUUGAUGAGCUUUGUUAGAAUGCCAGAUUUGGAGAAAUGAGAUCAGGGUGAAAAAUCCCAUCUCUGAUAUCAAUUACCUCUGUAACCUGCUCUUAGCUACAAAGAGCCUUAGUUUUCUCUUCCUAGAGUGAGGUUAAUGCCCACCUCACAUCAUUGUUGUGAGGCACAAAUAAAAUGGUAUUUUUCAAAGUAUUUUACCAACUAUGAAACUAUACGUUUGGGUUCUUUUAGAAAUUAUUGUUAUUAUUUUGAGAUAACCUCUAGUUUUCUUCUACAUUAUGCUUUUCAACUGCAUCUGAGAGUAAAUGCAUUUUAAAGUGAAUCUCAUAUUUAGCUACAUCUUACAAAACUGUUUCUGUUUUCCAGCUUGUAAGCCCAAACUAAUACCUCUUCACUGACAUGGACACGGUAGUUUUUAUGAAUGCAAACACUGUUCAGGAAGCUCCUAUUCAUGUUAUAACCUAGUUAACACUGGUUCUCUUUGGAAAAAGAAUUAUGGAUGAUAUCCAUACUUUAAAACUUUUAAAAAAUUAAAGGACAUUUAUGAGUUGGCAUAUUUCAAAAUAUUUAACGAUAUUUCAUUUUUAAAUGUUUGCUUCUUUUUUGGUAAAGUGUAUGUUGGCUAUGGGGGUAAUGCCUAACUCUUCCAUAGUCACGUUUUAAUUCCUCUAAAAUAAGCCAUCUGUAAAUACUCUUGACCAAAUUAUUUUAUGUAAGGGUAUCGGCAUUAUAAAGCCCCAGGGUUCUAUGAUAUAUCAGAUUGGACACAAAUUGGGAUGGUCUCCAGUUUUUUUAGGGAAAUACACUGCCUGGAACAAGAGAAUACAGUCUGUCUAGCUUAGACCUGGUGGUUGAUCAUCAUCAUCGCCAUAGCCAGCACUGAUUAGUAAAACUGAGUAAGGAGGAAAUUGAGGCAGGGAGCAUUUAUGUGGCUUGCCCACUGCCACAAAAAUUGCAAGGUAUAGAACCAGGAUUCCAAUGCAGGCAGUCCAGCUUCACAGGUGUCAUGUGAACCACAGUGUUGAUGAACCCCCCAUAUUGUCUCUGCAAACUGGGCACUAGCAGACAUGACACAUUCUAGAAAUUCCAAAGCUCCAAAUGCUCCCAAUGCAGUGUUUUGAAAAAUUCUAUUAAGAAUAUCUAAUACCAAGAAAAAAAAAGAAUAUCUAAUACCUUGUGUAAAUGCAGCUUCAGUAGACAAUUAAACCUCUAAAGCAGCAUGGAUAAACAUUGUAUUUGAAGAAAAUCCUUUGCUCCUGCCAUCCAACUUUUCAUUCUUUACAAACCAGAGAUAGUAAACAAUUGCUUCAUGUAAAUCAUUGUGAAAUGAUGUGACCUCCUUUCUGUAUGGGUCUCUAUUUUAAUGAGUUUUGAAUGCGGGAUCACAAAAUUCAUGAUAACUUGCUUUUCUCUGUAUGCAUGAAUAGCUAGAAGCUUCUUCUGUGCGAUCAGAAGAAUGCAGAACCAAGAAUACAGAUGACCAACUGUACCGUUAAAGAAAAGCAGAAACUUUUAGGAUGAGAAGGGGCCAGAAAAUGUAUGUAGUCCCAUCUCUUCACUGAUGCAGGCACCCAUUCUAAUAGAUCCUUAUAGGUAGUCAAAAGUUUCUGCCGAAACUUGUCACUGGAAAGCUGGCCCACUCUUUGUGAGGCAGCCCCAUGAUUGGAAAAGUUCUAGUUGAUGUAACUUCUGCCUUAUAUUGAAUUGAAAUAAGCCUCCCUAUAACUCCUACAUAGUUCAUGAUAUCUUCUGAAACAGUGAAGAAUACAUCUGCUCCCUUUUUCUGGGAAGAGUUUUUUUUAAGACUGAAGACAAUUUGAUACCUUCCCCUCAUUAUACUAAAUGUCUCCAGCACCUUGCCAAUCUCAUGUGAUAAGGGGGGAUGUGGGCCACACAGCAUCCUGGCUCCCCAGCUCUGGACAGAUCAACAUUAACAUAUCAUUCAUUCUUACUGAGCCUUUCUUCAUGAAAAUUUCCCAGGCUUUAUCAAUAGCCAUGAACUAUACCUCUUUUCUCAGCAGCACUGGAUUUACAUUAUCCUUUUCCAGAUAAAGCAGUUUUAUCAGGUUACUCAUCCAAUAAUCCUAGUCUAUCAAGACCUUCCUAAGACUUGGUUGUCACUUAGUAUAUCAGUGACCCUUUUCAACUAUGUAAUGUGUUCGUUUUAAGAAACUUUCCCUAAAACAACAAACCUUUGAAGUUGUUCACCAAUGUAUUGAGUGAAGUGUCGAAUAAAGUAGAACUGAAAAAAAAAAAAAAAAAAAA